UGGUGUAUAUGCAAGAUCCAAUGAUUUUAAAUCACAUUUUCAGAUUUGACUUAAUGUGUAGUGUCCAUCUCCAUUCAGUCCCUUAGUAGAUCAAGAAUGUCAUGCUAUAGAAUGUACCUCUUUUUUAUUGGAGAAGAUGAUUCUGUUUCCAUUUUGAUAUCAGGUUCAUAAGCAAGGUGUUGCACUUGGAAGAUCUGUUGACUUGACAAAGUUUGAUGGUUAUGAACAAUUGAUCGAGGAGUUAGAUCAGCUAUUUGAAUUCAAAGGAGAAUUGAUGGCUCCAAAUAAAAAUUGGAUGAUUGUAUUUACUGAUAAUGAGGAUGAUAUGAUGCUUGUUGGAGAUGACCCUUGGCAGGAAUUUUGUGCUAUGGUCCGUCAGAUUUUUAUAUACACAAAAGAGGAGGUCCAGAAGAUGGAUUCAAGUACCUUGAACCCAAAAAAUGAAGAUUGUCCUGAUAUGAAAGAGAAUGUCAAGGAAACAAAAGGCAGUCAAUCUGCAUCAUCAUCUAAUUCAAAAAACUCAUAGGCUUAUCCUGCAAUAUCACUAUCAAGGAAGAAUGUUCAAAGGAAAGUAAAGGCUAAGGAGAAGAUCACGUAAUUAACUACACGGGUCUAGUGAAAAUACUGAAGAAGUAUGACAAGAGAACAGCAGCACUUAUCAGGCAGUCCUUCAUCGAAAAGGUGCUGCAGCAGCCAUUCUUUACAACUGAUCUCCUAUACAAACUCGUGAAGGAGUGUGUGGCUAUGCUCGACCACCUCUUCCCCAGCAACAACCUGUCAAUUUCAGCAGAAUGCGACGGACAAAAUGGAGUGCCAAAGCCGACACAAUCAGGUGGGAGGGUUCCAGAGUUGGAGGAGAUUAAAUAUAUGCAGAGCUUAUACAUGAAGAGCACCGUAGCAGCGCUGCGGUCCUUGAAACAGAUUAGGAGCAAAAGUUCAACAGUCAAAACAGAUUAGAAAAUCUCGUGUUAUAUUGUUCUACCUUUGUUUUAAUAGUGUUAUCAUUUUGUUGGUUGCUUAUGAAAUUUUGUUGGUUGCUUAUGAAA